rnacentral:rRNA from 1 species
GACGAAGGGGGCUAGCGUUGUUCGGAAUUACUGGGCGUAAAGCGCGCGUAGGCGGCUCUUCCAGUCAGGCGUGAAAGCCCCGGGCUUAACCCGGGAAUAGCGCUUGAUACUGUUGGGCUUGAGUCCGGGAGAGGAUAGUGGAAUUCCCAGUGUAGAGGUGAAAUUCGUAGAUAUUGGGAAGAACACCAGUGGCGAAGGCGGCUAUCUGGACAGUGACUGACGCUGAGACGCGAAAGCGUGGGGAGCAAACAGG